GAGGGUAUGGCCCAGUGGUAGAGUGAUGCUUAGCAUGCAUGGGGUCCGGGGUUCAAUCCCCAGUACCUCCA
rnacentral:tRNA from 1 species